GUCACUAUCUACGGAGCCCAGGUCCGCGAAAAUGACAAGAAGAGUAAAGUUUGACUGUCAGAUAUGUUUGAGCUACAGCAAUUCCUUAUUACCUUUUAAUCCUCCUACUUGUGGAGGAAGAGGAGAAGCGGCUCUGGUUUAUCUUGGGUUGAGAGAGGACACUGGAGAGCCGUCGAUCGGGUCAGAACUGCAAACCCAGUUGAUGGACGAUGUGGUGGACAGUGGACACUGGACCUCCAAACACCCAGGGUACUGACCCAGAUGAUGUCCCACUGACACCAGGGUGUGGCAUCCCAUCCAGCCCAGCAGCUAGGGACUCCUGCUCAGCCUGUUACUGUACAUCAUUUGUAACUGCUUUAAUAUUGUUUUUAAUAACAGUUGUUUUUGUUAAUAGUUCAUAAUAAUCUGUAAAUAGUUAUGUAUGCUGUAAUUUUGUAAAUAGUUGUAAAUGUUAAGAUCUUAAUAAAAGAAAAAGAAGCA